ACGCUGGCGGCAUGCCUUACACAUGCAAGUCGAACGGCAGCACGGGAGUUUGCUCCUGGUGGCGAGUGGCGAACGGGUGAGUAAUACAUCGGAACGUACCCAGUAGUGGGGGAUAACGCACCGAAAGGUGCGCUAAUACCGCAUACGACCUAAGGGUGAAAGCGGGGGACCGUAAGGCCUCGCGCUAUUGGAGCGGCCGAUGUCUGAUUAGCUAGUUGGUGAGGUAAAGGCUCACCAAGGCUUCGAUCAGUAGCUGGUCUGAGAGGACGAUCAGCCACACUGGGACUGAGACACGGCCCAGACUCCUACGGGAGGCAGCAGUGGGGAAUUUUGGACAAUGGGCGAAAGCCUGAUCCAGCAAUGCCGCGUGUGCGAAGAAGGCCUUCGGGUUGUAAAGCACUUUUGUCAGGGAAGAAAUCUUUUAGGCUAAUACCUUGGAAGGAUGACGGUACCUGAAGAAUAAGCACCGGCUAACUACGUGCCAGCAGCCGCGGUAAUACGUAGGGUGCAAGCGUUAAUCGGAAUUACUGGGCGUAAAGCGUGCGCAGGCGGUUUGUUAAGACAGUCGUGAAAUCCCCGGGCUUAACCUGGGAACUGCGAUUGUGACUGGCAAGCUAGAGUACGGCAGAGGGGGGGUGGAAUUCCUGGGUGUAGCAGUGAAAUGCGUAGAGAUCA
rnacentral:rRNA from 1 species